rnacentral:rRNA from 1 species
CGUGUAGGCGGUCAGGUAAGUGGGAUGUGAAAUGCCCCGGCUCACCCGGGGAUCUGCAUCCCAUACUGCCCGGCUUGAGUAUGGGGGAGGAUGAGGGAAUUCCUGGUGUAGCGGUGAAAUGCGUAGAUAUCAGGAGGAACACCGGUGGCGAAGGCGCUCAUCUGGCCCAAUACUGACGCUGAGGCGCGAAAGCUAGGGGAGCAAACGGGAUUAGAUACCCCGGUAGUCCUAGCCGUAAACGGUGAUCACUAGGUGUUGGAGGCAUCGACCCCUCCAGUGCCGCAGCUAACGCAUUAAGUGAUCCGCCUGGGGAGUACGGCCGCAAGGUUGAA